rfam:Rattus norvegicus chromosome 7, whole genome shotgun sequence.
GGGGAUUUAGCUCAGUGGUAGAGCGCUUGCCUAGCAAGCGAAAGGUCCUGGGUUCGGUCCCCAGCUCCG